CACCCCUGUUAGGGGAGUGAAAAGUACCUGAAACCUGUUGCUUACAAGCGGUCGGAGCCCCCUCGUGGGGUGACGGCGUACCUUUUGCAUAAUGGGUCUGGGAGUUAACGUAAGGAGCCAGCCUAAGGUCCCUCAGGACCGGAGGCGCAGCGAAAGCGAGUCUGAAUAGGGCGAUCGUCAGUGUUUAUAGACCCGAACCCGGGUGAUCUAACCAUGGCCAGGAUGAAGCUUGGGUGAUACCAAGUGGAGGUCCGAACCGACUGAUGUUGAAAAAUCAGCGGAUGAGCUGUGGUUAGGGGUGAAAUGCCAAUCGAACCCGGAGCUAGCUGGUUCUCCCCGAAAUACGUUGAGGCGUAGCGUCUAGUGCUCCAGCAGGGGGGUAAAGCCACCGUUUCGGUACGGGCUGCGAGAGCGGUACCAAAUCGAGACGAACUCUGAAUACCCUGUGUGUAACUAGGCAGUCAGACUGUGGGGGAUAAGCUCCAUGGUCGAAAGGGAAACAGCCCAGACCGCCAGCUAAGGUCCCCAAAUCAAUGCUGAGUGAUAAAGGAGGUGGGAUUGCCCAGACAACCAGGAGGUUUGCCUAGAAGCAGCCAUCCUCAAAGGAGUGCGUAAUAGCUCACUGGUCGAGCGAUCCUGCGCCGAAAAUGAACGGGGCUAAGCAUUGUACCGAAGCUGCGGAUUUAACUUGUUAAAUGGUAGGGGAGCGUUCCAUGUGGGGUGAAGCGUUAGCGUAAGCGGGCGUGGACUGCAUGGAAGUGAGAAUGUCGGCUUGAGUAGCGAAAACAUGGGUGAGAAUCCCAUGCCCCGAAACCCUAAGGGUUCCUCCGGCAGGCUCGUCCGCGGAGGGUUAGUCAGGACCUAAGGCGAGGCCGAAAGGCGUAGUCGAUGGACAACAGGUCAACAUUCCUGUACCUGUGAUGUUUUGGGAAGGGGGACGGAGAAGGCUAGCCAAGCCAGAUGUUGGUUACUGGUCCAAGCGUUCGAGGCGUUGAGAACCGGCGAAAACGGUUUGAGCUGAGGCGUGAGUGCGAGCUGCUACGGCAGCGAAGUUGGUGACGUCAAGCUUCCAAGAAAAGCCCUAUACCCGUUAAGGCAUCAUGGCCUGUACCCGAAACCGACACAGGUGGGGUGGUAGAGAAUACCGAGGGGCGCGAGGUAACUCUCUCUAAGGAACUCGGCAAAAUGGCCCCGUAACUUCGGGAGAAGGGGUGCCACCGCAAGGUGGUCGCAGUGAAGAGGCCCAGGCGACUGUUUACCAAAAACACAGGUCUCCGCUAAGUCGCAAGACGAUGUAUGGGGGCUGACGCCUGCCCAGUGCCGGAAGGUUAAGGAAGCUGGUCAGCGCAAGCGAAGCUGGCGACUGAAGCCCCGGUGAACGGCGGCCGUAACUAUAACGGUCCUAAGGUAGCGAAAUUCCUUGUCGGGUAAGUUCCGACC
rnacentral:rRNA from 1 species